rnacentral:lncRNA from 1 species
CGCCGCUCGCUCCCCGGGCCCCCGGCCUUGCUGCCUGCUGCGGGGCGGGGCAGUCCAAGGCCUGGCUCGGCUCCCAGUGUAAAUACCGCGUCUCCCUCCUCGGUUAAACUCCAGGGACUCGGAACUCAAUGGGUUAACUGGACCCAAUGAGGGGAAGGGGGACGGGGAGGAGCGCGCCCACCCCUGCCCGUGCAGCCUGGGGCCCCAUUGUUAAUACAAUGUAGCAACUUCGCUGGCGCCGGCUGCCCCCUCCCUGUCCACUUUCGAAACUUGUUCUAAGGACAAAGUGGCUAUGUGCAAUGGAUGUAAAUGUACUGAGUCUCUUGGUUCAGUGUUAAGUUCACGUUCAUUUGUUUAUGAGUCUAAGUUAUUUUUCUUUCUUCUCCUGGACCCGCUUCCCCUCCCGUUUUGUGUUCCCUUUUGGGGGGCUUUUUUGCUUUGUUUAUUUUUGUUGUUGUAACCUCUUGUUGUAACAGCACUUUAAAAGGGCGACAACUGACUCACGAGAUGAUGACCACCUUGAGCCUGUUUGGGGGAGACCACCCUGUAUCCGUGACUUUUGUUUUUAAUAAAAGAAAAAUCUGUUACUUUCUGGGAUUGCCAGGUGGGAGUGUGGGAGGAGAGGGGAGGGACAAGAGGGCGGAGGGCGGCGCCACAGGUGGGGCGGGGACCACUUCCGGUCACCUGGUUAGAGCUGUGCUUGCUCAGGUGGACAGCAGUCAGCACCCACCCAAGUAGAAAGCCCCCAGCUUGGGGGCCACCCCCGCUCCACACCACCACACUCCCCGGGCCCCACUUGGGGAAAAGGGGAUGAUUGCCUGAUCCACGGUACAGCAGCUGUCUCUUCCCUCAAGCUCUUGUAGGUGCCCACACCUGCCAGGGGACGUCAUCGCUCAGGACUCUGCAGGCCGGACCCACCAGAUCAGUUCUCCGUGGCAGCCAAAAAAUGACAUCCGGACAGGAAGUGACUUGAGUCUCCAGGGCGCGCCAGAGGCGAGUGGAGCUGGGACACGUGGGGGUCGGAGGGUGCACCUCAUUUCUUUACCCGACGGCAUAAAUGCACCCCUCGAAACCCCACCUUCAGUCUCUGUAAAAUGGGCCAGUGGGGACCAUCCAGGCUGGCAGUUGCUUCCGUGGCCGAGGCCCAGCAGAGGAGCCUACCACAUACUCCUUUCGGCUGGUUCUCCCGCAAAUUCCAGAGUGGAGAAAAGCACCAGACAGCUGGGGCCCGCCAGAAGGGGCGCCCCAUCUGGGCCGGAACCUCUGCGGAUUCGGGGUGUAGGCGGAUCCGACCCACAAAGUAGAGUCGGAAAAAACCCUCGGGCUCCGCCCCCUUUCCGAAGUGUUUGUGCCCUCCCAA